rnacentral:rRNA from 1 species
CGCGUAGGUGGUUUGGUCAGUCAGAUGUGAGAGCCCUGGGCUUAACCUGGGAAUUGCAUUUGAUACUGCCAGACUAGAGUAUGGUAGAGGGAAGUGGAAUUCCGGGUGUAGCGGUGAAAUGCGUAGAUAUCCGGAGGAACAUCAGUGGCGAAGGCGGCUUCCUGGACCAAUACUGACACUGAGGUGCGAAAGCGUGGGUAGCAAACA